rnacentral:misc_RNA from 1 species
UCCGGCUUACACCGGCGGUCUCUUGUGAGUUCCCAUCUUUCAUGCUGGUAACACAAGACGAGGGUUGCGCUCGUUGGCGGACUUAACCGUACACCUCACGGCACGAGCUGACGACAGCCAUGCAACAAGUGUCUUCUGGUCCCCUUGAGAGGGAGGGCCUCCUUUCAGAGGCUUACCAUCGAUGUCAAGUCUGGGUAAGGUUCUUCGGUUAGUAUCGAAUUAAUCCACAUGCUCCACCGCUUGUGCGGGUCCCCGUCAAUUCAUUUGAGUUUCAACCUUGCGGCCGUACUCCCCAGGCGGGAUACUUAGUGCGUUAGCUGCGGCACAAGAGGGGUCGAUACCUCUUACGCCUAGUAUCCAUCGUUUAGGGCGUGGACUAC